rnacentral:rRNA from 1 species
CCAAAAACAUAGCCCCAGAACAAAUCUGAGGUGUGACCUGCCCAAUGAUUUUAAAUUAAAAAUACUUAAAAACUAUUUAAUAAAAUUAAAAGGACGCGGUAACCUUGACCGUGAUAAUGUAGCAUAAUCAUUCGCCAUUUAAUUGAUGGAUAGUAUGAAUGGUUUAACGAAUAUUCCACUGUCUUAAAAAGAAAUAACAAAAAAUUAGAAUAAUAGUAAAGAUACUAUUUAAAAUUGUAAGACGAAAAGACCCUAUAGAGCUUAACUACAAUUUUUCUACAAAAAAAAAAGAAAGAUUGGUAGUUUAGUUGGGGCGACUAUCUUUUAAAAAAAACGAAGACAAGCAAAUAUUAAUAAAAAAAUUUACUGUAUAAUAUAUUUAUUUAACAGUUACAAAAGUAGGCUAUAAUGACCCGUUAUUAUUUUAUAAAAAAAAUUAACGAUUAAUAAAUAAAAGCUACCUUAGGGAUAACAGGAUAAUUUUAUUUUAGAGACCUAAUCGAAAAUAAAGUUUGUCACCUCUAUGUUGAAUUAAGAUAUCCUGACGAUGUAGCAGUUGUCAAAGGUAGGUCUGUUCGACCUUUAAAA